AGGGUGAAAAGUUGAGAUUCCA
rnacentral:siRNA from 1 species